rfam:Camelus ferus unplaced genomic scaffold scaffold851, whole genome shotgun sequence.
GAAGGCAUAGCUCAGGGGUAGAGCGCAUGCCUAGUAUGCGUGAGGUCCUGGGUUCAGUCCCCAGUCCCUCCA